CCCUGAGUGUCAGCUCCACUGUACGGUAUGUUGAUAAAUAAAACUACAAUAACACCAAAUAUCAUUAAGUAGAGUUUGUACCCUUUCACUAAUUAACUUUUUAAGAACUACUUAAAAUGACCUUUCAAACUAAACAAAUGAGAAUCGUACUCAAAUCAAUCAAAACUGACAAACUAGCUAGCUGGCUAGCAAAUUAGCUCACCACAUUAAUAUCCGGUGGAAAUGUAUUCCGUCUUUUUAAUGUUAUCCCGAUAACUAACUAAAUACUAGCCAGCUAGUAUAGUUUUGUGUCAACCUAACCAGCUAGUGUAAAUCUGUUGUUUUAUUUUCUGGGUAAUUCUGCUCCCCUAAAUACGAAGUAGCUGUCUUGCUAACUAGUGUAAAUUGGGUUUGACUAGCUAGCUAGCCAACUAACUCAAAAUGUUGCUAGCUUGUGGGAGUUGGUUCUUCUUUUACGUAAUUCUACCACCUAACUAACUGUCUUAGUUCUGUAGCUUUUGUGUAAUUCUGCAUACUAACAAAGUAGCUAUAUAAUGGAAUUUUGUUUUAUACCUUUUGUGUAAUUUACCAGCAAACUAAAUAACUGUUCCUAGCUAGUGUCAAGUGUUUCUUUAGUUCUUGUGUUAAUAAUGUUAUCAAGCUAACUAAGCAACCAAUUUAAUUGUUAUAUACAUAACUAUUCCUUGUUUUUAGACAUAGUAUAAUCCGCAAAUUCACUAGCUAUAUUAACUAAAUAACUAGCUAGCGGGUAGAAGUAGGUUCUGUAGUUAUAGUGUAAUCCUGCUAACAAAAUGUUGUGCGUUAGCGUAAAUUGCUUUUUUAGUUUUCUGCCAACUAAUUAGCCUGUUAACUAUUAAGCUAGCUAGAGGAAAUCGUGUUUUGAUUUUUUUUUGCACACUCUGCACACUGACCAAUUAGCUGGGCUGAAUUUUUGUUAUUGUUUGUCUUCAUUAUUUUCUGGAAAAUCCUUGAAAAUGAAAUGUAUCUACUUAACAAAUAAAGGUAACACAACGUCCUUGGCGGAGGUAAUAACUUUUACAGCCUAUUUUUGGGACUCUCCCCACGUCGGAGUGCUGCCCAAAUCAAGUCCAGAUGUUCCACCUCCUCCUCACUUCCUCUCCCCCGAUGCAGAUCCCAGCAUGCAGCAGAGUCCUCACUUUCUUUCCCAACUAAUCCUGUUUCCUCUGUGAGCAGCUGAAAGAAGCAUCGGGGUUCUUUGUGCUUUUACUAUUAUGUCAAUGCACCCUACUUACUGACCAGACUCAUCACAUGAUCAACAUUACCCAUGUGAUGUAUAUUCACAUUGGGCCUCUAGGGCACGUCCAUCACUGUCAUUAACUGAGGCAGGUGCUGCUCCUCCUUGCGUUUGGAACCCCAGUGGAGCUAAUAAAGUCUUCAUAGUCAUUAGUCGGAAAGCCCAAGUCAUCCCACGUGGCUAUGACGUGAUGGUAGUAUAGAUUUUAUCAUGCUAAUAGCCCUACAGGAGACUUAUUGUCUGUAAGGUGUUCGAGGAAGUGGAUUCAUGUUGCCUCUCUAAGGCCUCUUGUGUGAGAUUUAAAUGUACUGUAAGGACAAACAUAACCUAAAAGCCUGCAGGAAGGGAAAUUCAACGAAAAAUGUGGAAGGAUCUUUGCAGCAAUCGCAAUAUUUUUUUAUCCAAGAAGAGACUGAGGGCAGCAAGACAAUUGAGUCAUGUGGAGUGAAUUACUGCUGUUUGGAGAGAUAAGGCACCAUGAGGGUAAGCUUUUUUGUUGUUAUCACUAUUAAUGAGACAAAUUUUAUCCAAGUGGAGAUAAAGGGCAGAAGCAAAGUGGAGGGUAUACAAAUGGCAUUCAGAGCAGGGUUUAAAGUUAAUGCUAGCAAGUAUUUUUAUUUUUGUCAUAUACACUUGGACACAGAUUUUAUUCUAAAGGAGUCAUGUCUGUGGAGUAUAUAAUAUAUCAUCCAGAGCUAAAUUCAGCAUGUGUGGUUCUUUUUUUUUUGUGAUUUUUAGCUGUCACAGUAAAGAGCCCAAUUUCAUCCAAGAGGAGAAUGAGGACUACAAGAAAAAAGCUGCAGCAAAGUGAAGACUGUGGAGUAUAAUAUAGUGGUAAGUCCAGAACUAACAACAGCAUGUGUACUUAUUUUUGUCAUUUCUACCUAUCACGGCAAGGAGACAGUUUUAUCCAAGAGGAGACUGAGGGCAUCCAGAAAACAACAACGCAACAAAGUGAAGAAAGUGAAGUAUAAUAUUACACCAUCCAGAGCUAACAGCAGCAUAUCUAGUAGUUUUUGUCAUUUUUAGGUAAGGAGACAAAUUUAUCCAAGAGGAGAUUGAGGGCAGCAGUAAAACGGCACUGCUGCAAAGUGGAGACUAUAAAGUUAACUGCAGCGUCCAGAGCAAAACACCAUGAGUACUUUUCAUUUCCAGCUGACACAGUAAGGAAAUAGAUUUGAUCCAACAGGAGACUGAGGGCAUCAAGAAAACAACCAUGCAGCAAAGUAGCUACUGUGAAGUAUAAUACUGCAGCACCCAGAGCUAACAACAUAGUAAUAUUUGUCAGUUCUAACUGUCAAGGUCAGGGGACAAAUUUUAUCCAAGGGGAGACUGAGGGCAACAGGAAAACGUCACUGCUGAAAAGUGGAGACUAUAAAGUUAACUGUAGUGUCCAGAGCUAAAAACACCAUGAGUACUUUCAUUUCCAGCUGACACAGUAAGGAGAUACAUUUGAUCCAACAGAAGACUGAGGGCAGCAAGAAAACAACCAUGCAGCAAAGUAGCUACUGUGAAGUAUAAUACUGCAGCACCCAGAGCUAACAACAUAGUAAUAUUUGUCAGUUCUAACUGUCAAGGUCAGGGGACAAAUUUUAUCCAAGAGGAGACUGAGGGCAGCAGGAAAAAAGCUGCAGCAGAGUGAAGACUGUGGAGUAUUAUACAGUGGUGAGUCCAGAGUUAAAAACAGCAUGUGUACUUAUUUUUGUCAUUUCUACUUAUCACGGCAAGGAGACAUGUUUUAUUCAAGAGGAGACUGAGGGCAUCAAGAAAACAACAAAGUGAAGAAAGUGAAGUAUAAUAUUACAACAUCCAGAGCUAACAACAGUGUGAGUACUUUUCAUUUCCAGAUGACACAAUAAGGAGAUACAUUUUAUCCAACAGGAGACUGAGGGCAGCAAUAAAACAACCAUGCAGCAAAGUAGCUACUGUGAAGUAUAAUACUGCAGCACCCAGAGUUAACAACAUAGUAAUAUUUGUCAGUUGUCAGGUAAGGGGACAAAUUUUAUCCAAGGGGAGACUGAGGGCAGUGAGAAACAACACUACAGCUAUGAAGUAAACUACUGCGGGGUGUAUAUUAAUGUAUAAUCCAGCUUGAUUGACAGACAUGAGUCCCAUUACUGUGCACAGUGGAUUUGCUCUCAGCCCUCACGUGCAUAGACAGGUGUCUUGCUCAUACCUGGCUGAAUGACAUCAGAGCACGUACACGGGGCAAACAGCUCAUAGAGUCCACCUGUGGUGAUGAGUGAGAGACCACCAGUGGAAACAAAGGCAAGUUUCUCAGACAACUUGCACUGCCCGUCUGCGCUGAGAUGUUUCAGCAGCUUUGACUCAUGUCGUGUCUACCCAUGGUUAUGUCGGGUGAGAUUGUGCAACUCAGAGCGCGAUUCCCCCCCUCCGCCUCCGCAGCAGCUGGUAUGUGGAAAACACUGCAGCAAAAACUUUUUAACUUUGCAGCAAAGUUAUUUUUCACACGCUUUCACUUUUCGGCGAACCGCAAGUCACAGACAUUUUACGGAGCGCCUUUUUUUACGACGGGACAGUUCAAGAGUUUGUCCACUGUAGCAGCCCCAGUCGCUGCACUUAUAGUUUAAGGGAGGGGUCACGAGCCCUGACCUCACUUCCUGUUGGGGCUCCUCACAAGCAUUCCAUUGUCUGUGAGAAUGUGCACAGGCUCAAGGGACCGUGCACAUCUGGCAGCUGUUAUUAGCAGCCUCCUUUUUAGCAACCAAUCCACCGCCACGACCCCUGAGAAGAGAUUACGACAUGUGAUGGUGGACGUGCACCUCAUGCUAUUGUUUCACAAGUGUCACUAGACAGGAACAUUGUUUUAUUAUUAUUAUUAUUGCCUGGAAAGUCGAUUAAGAAUCCAGAACAAACACAAGAUGUGAUUAGACAAUGUGUUCGCUAAUAUGUGACUUUUAUUUAGUAGUAUAAUUUACUUUAGUAGUAUAUAUAUGUACCGUAUUUUCCGCACUAUAAGGCGCACCUAAAAUCUGUUUUUUUUUUUAAAAAGCUGACUAUGCGCCUUAUAAUCCGGUGCGCCUUAUAUAUGGAUCAAUAUUGAGCCGCGACAGGUCUCGCAACUUACGGUAAGCAGCCACCGACUCCAUUUUUCCCGUAGAAGAAGAAGUGCGCUGUGCAUACUGGGAAAUAUUAAACAACGAUUCACUUUCAUUUGUGCGUUUGUAUAAAGACCCUGAAAUGGCUCCUAUUAAGAGACACGCUUACAACGCAGAGUUUAAACUCAAGGCGAUCAGUCACGCAGUAGAACACGGAAAUAGAGCAGCAGCAAGAGAGUUUAACAUUAAUGAAUCGAUGGUGCGGAAGUGGAGGAAGCAUGAGGAUGAGCUGCGCCAAGUAAAGAAGACUAAACAAAGUCAUUUUGCACAUUACGAGUGUCACUAUAUUGCGAUUGCACUAACGUUUAAUUUACCAUAACAGUAUCAGACGGUUUUUUGCGCGUUGACUAAAUGGAGGAAAAGUAAAAUGUUAUGCCUUGCUGUUGUUCAAAGAUGUUAAAGAUGUGUCACGAAAAUGCUUUACCUCAGAGAAAAUAAUAAAACAGCUGUUUAUUCAUUUUGGGAGUGAAUGGAGUUGUGGAAAGCUUGUUUGUUAUCUAUUAAUAAAGUUUGACUGACCUAUCUGACUGUUUUGUUGACAUUCCCUUUAGCGCGGCACCAUCUAAUGGUUGCAUAACGUAACUACAGCCUCUACUGUAGCGCCUUAUAAUGCGAUGCGCCUUAUGUAUGGAAAAAGUUUUAAAAUAUAUCAUUCAUUGAAGGUGCGCCUUAUAACACGGUGCGCCGUAUAGUGCGGAAAAUACGGUAUGUUAAUUUUUUUUGUCCAAUCAGAUUUCAGCUUGUAUGUGUUGCCAUGUCAAUAUAAUCUGCCCAUUGUCACACAGUAACAAUGGGGAUGGUUUUUUUUUUAGACAAUUUUUAGACUUCUGAUUCUGCUUCUGAUUUGCCUCAGAGCCAACUUGCAGGCCCCCGGUUCUGAUUGGUUGAACAGAGCAAAACAGUUCUGCAUGAUACGCGACAUCCCCAAUGGCUGACUGAGGAGAAAUUAUGGCAUCACCAUAUGGCUCCCAUCAGCGCCAAGAAAGCCGACCCUGACGUCUGUGACGCUAAAUCACCAAGGAGAAGGGAAGUUCAAAAGUGCCCAGGAGGUCUCUCUGAAUGGGGGUAGUGUCUCCAGACCCUUUCAAGCUCCUGCUGAGCUCACCAAAAAGAGGAGCUCCGCAUCCUUUCCCUUUUCACACGAUCAUCAAACAAAUUUAAAUAUGAGUGAAUGACAACACAAGACAUCAUCCACAAAUGUGAUGAACCUUCCCAGGAAUGGCCGGCCAACCAGAAUUACCCCCAAGAGGGCAGCAACGCAUUGACCGAGGUCACAAAAGACCCCGCAACAACAUCCAAAGAACUGCAGGCCUCACUUGCCUCAUUUAAGGACCUGGAAGACGUGCGGUGUUAAAUGGAAGCAUGAAUUCUGCUGGAGAAUCCUGCAGGAGAAGGUCCAGACAUCUGUUGGUGACCUCAACUUGGGUUUUGCAGCAGGACAAUGAUCCAAAACACACCAGCAAGUCCACAAAAUGAAGACUUUGGAGUGGCCUUGUCAUGCUAAGAGUUCA